AGUAACGCGUAGAAAUCUGCCUGGUAGUGGGGGAUAGCCCAGAGAAAUUUGGAUUAAUACCGCAUACGCCCUACGGGGGAAAGCAGGGGACCUUCGGGCCUUGCGCUAUCAGAUGAGUCUGCGUCGGAUUAGCUUGUUGGUGAGGUAAUGGCUUACCAAGGCGACGAUCUGUAGCUGGUUUGAGAGAAUGAUCAGCCACACUGGGACUGAGACACGGCCCAG
rnacentral:rRNA from 1 species